rnacentral:lncRNA from 1 species
CUGUGCUUGGCCAUUUUUGUCUUUUUUAAUUUUAAUUUUUUGGGCAUGAAACCAAUUACAUCUCAUUUUAAAACUUUCUGACUUUUGCCUUUUUUUUUUUUUUUUUUGAGACAGUCCUGCUCUGUCACCCAGGUUGUAGUACAAUGGCAUGACGUCAGCUCACCGCAACCUCCGCCUCCCAGGUUCAAGUGAUUCUCCUGAAAAACAAGUGUGAAACUUGAUCAAAUGGGAAUCUGAAGUAUAGCUUUUCUUGGAGACUAAGUUCUUGGGGCAGUUGACUAGAGGACAUGAUGUUUCUUGAUCACAAAGCUUUUUUGAUGACAAAGAUUCACAUAUUGUAAGUGUACAGUUUGAUGAAUUUUUAUAACCUAAAGAUACCUAUGUAACUAGCACCUUGAUCAAGAAACAAAACAUAACUGCUACUCUUUCUCUUAGUCCUUGCAUCUAAACUAAACAUCGGGCUCUAUCCACCUAGCUAAAUUUUAGUUGAGUAUUAUGUAAUUUAGAUUUAAAAACUAUGUGAAGAGCAAGACUACUUAGUAUUUAUGCAAAAUAUCCAGGUAGUUAUAUUAUUUUCAUCUUUGGCAU